GCGCCCGUAGCUCAGUUGGAUAGAGCGCCGGGCUUCGAACCCGUAGGUCGGGGGUUCAAAUCCCUCCGGGCGCGCCA
rnacentral:tRNA from 3 species